rnacentral:tRNA from 1 species
GACGACGCAGCUCAGCGGACGAGCGCGGAGCUUGGCUCCGAGGAUGCUGGUUCAACUCCAUCCGUCGCCA